AGUUGGUGGAGUGAUUUGUCUGGUUAAUUCCGUUAACGAACGAGACCUUCGCCUGCUAAAUAGGUACGCUCAAGCAUGCUUGGGUGGGCACCUUCUUAGAGGGACACUCGGUGUUUAACCGAGGGAAGUUGGAGGCAAUAACAGGUC
rnacentral:rRNA from 1 species